AGCUGUUUUGUUGAAGUUAGUAAUAAAGAAAUAAGCAAAAUUAAAAUGAAUUCAGACCAGAAAAAUACAAUAAAACUUGUGCAAAAAUACUAAAACAAUUAUUCGCCUCAGGCUCUGUGGUUAUCUGGGAAUAUUCACCUCGGCAAAUAUUCCCCGAUAAUCACCUCGCCUUCGGCGAAUAAUUGUUAAAUAUAAUUUUACCAUUCCUUUUUGAAAUAAAUAAAUGUUUUCAAACUCAAUUUGCUGUGUUUGUUUACUGCAGUCAUCAAAUCCCUACUUUAUCUUAUGGUCCACCUUGUGCAUGUGUUCUUAACACUGUUUUAAUUUAACUGUUGUAUAUUUAGCACAGAUGGGUCACUGAUCUAAAUAUGGAUCCAGUAUUAUGUGGUAGGGAGGGUGCUCUGCCAGCUCUGGUGCCGAGUUGUGUCAGUCAUGUGCGCCACCCACCCAUCAAAAUACUUGACUACAGCAAAGUCUUGCUUGACUACAGUAUUGUAAUUGUUGUUAACAAACAGUUUACUUAUCAUCAUGUUAUUACUCAAAUUACUCAUUUUGUCUCUAAUAUUUUUUGCUUUAUCAUGAAAAUACCCCCCCCCCUGCAUACCCUCUGGCCAGGGCUAGGUGGGGGGUGCACACACCCCAGUAAAUCCACCCCUGAUAUUGGUCAUAUAAAUGCAGUGGUCAUACAUAAUUGAUGUUAAUAAAAUGCUUUAUUCAAAGUUACAAUAUAUAAAGUAAAUACUUAAGAUUCAUUGCAACAUUUUCAUGUCACCAAUACACCAAUAUUUACAUGUAAAAUGUCUACUAAAAUAUGUAUCUGUUAAAAGGCUGGUAUGGGCAAAUUUAUAUAACAGCUAGGUUGCUCUUAUUAUUCUGGUUCAAUAGUUUCAUUGCUUGAAUCAGUUGAAUGGAUCAUGAGCACAACUUGGCUGGAUUAGAUGUUAUACCAUUUGCCAAAGCAGGAUGUAGGAACAGUUCAACUGCUCAAUAACAGUUCUAAAUCAGCAUUAAAUUCAUAAGUUCAACUUUUCCCAUAUUUAGGAUCAAGUACAAU